UUGUUAUUUUAGUCUGAUGCUGAUUUUUUAAAAAAUAAGUCAGUGUUCAUGUAAUUUACUUUUUUUGUUCACAUUUGUUACAAUGUCACAAAUGUGUUUCCUAUUCUAAUUAAAAUCUGGGACCAAAAUUUUAUUAUUGUUCCAGUUAAAAUAUACAAACCAGGGUAUGAAUUUUUUAAAACUAACGCAGAGAUAUAGAUAAAUCUACAUCUCUAAUAAACGUUAUUGCUAUGACGAAACUGGUAAUAUCUUUUUCUAAAUUUAUAUACUAUUGGAUGCACGUUAACUUGUGUGCAAGAUUUCAGAUUAUUCGCUCACUCUAUUUUUCCAGUAUAAGUGCAAAAUGACCCAAAAAUGAAAAGUGGUUAAACGCUUUUAAAACCCAAAUCGGACAAGAAUUACACAUAAUCGCGGAUUUAUAUAUUACAUUGUAAUUAAGAUCCUUGACAAAAUAGAAUUUAUAUCGAAAUCAAAUCAGAGUACAUAUAUUUAUUAUAUACCUAUAAAUGAAAUAUUGAGAAAUAUUGAUGAAAUAAAACGCUUAUUUUCAUUUUCGUACUUCACUGUAAAAAAGGAUUUUAGUGAAACAUAUUUUCUGUGUAUUCACUGGUGUCUUGCCGGACUUCUCUCUUUCAAAUUUAAGGAAUAGUUUUCUAAAUUGUAAUUUAAGAAUAGAGACAAAUGUAUAUAAUAAACAGAAAAUUCAAGUUUUUUCUAUAAAUACAUGAUUUAUUUUCAUAUUGUGGCAUGAAAAUUAUCACAUUUCACUCGUGGAUACCGCCACUCAUGAAAUAUUUAUUCUCAUACCACUUGAUGAAAAUAAAUCGUGUAUUUACAGAAAAAACUUGAAUAUCCCCUAUACAUUUUAACAUCUUUUGUAUAUUUGUCCUGCAGUUUAUCUAUGUACGAAUUUAUUUUUUUAUGUGUUUAGGUUUUAGGACCUCAGUGGAGAUCCUUUAAUUAAAUACCUUAACAAACUUAUAUAUUAUAAACCGUUUUUAACUUUAAGGUCCCAGCUUCUUUCAAUAUUUCAUUUUGAUACCACUUCCAAUUGUUCUUGCGUCUUAAUGCCCGAAUGACGAAUAAAAACUGUUUCGCGCAUGUCACGUGAUGGUGUGCCAACCACGUUAACUUUUUGGUCCUUCCGAAUUAUCCAGGCGGGGAACAAUAGUUUCAUAUAAAUACAUAGCAAAUUAAAUCGUGUGACUGAAAAGAGGUCGGAAAAUGUUUUGCUGGCGUCUUUAACGGAUUUGUUUAGUAAAGUUUUUUGGUGAGAAUCAAUCAGUGGUUAAACAUACAAGAUUGUCCCCGAGCGCUCAAGAUUCAUGGUCGAGUGAUUUUCCAUGCACUUUACUGUUAGCUACAUUUGCGUGAAGUUUGUGAGAGGGACGUGACGGAAACAAAAGUAUGGCAGAUUUGGAAUUGUUUCUUUUAUUUUAGGACGUCGAAGAACUUAGUAUCAAUAAAAAAUAUAUGAAUAAUUGAUGGUUGGCAUAUGAGGUCUAACAAAGUAUUGACACGGAUGAUUGACGUGUGAUAUGUAAAAAUGAUGGCCAUGUUGAUGACAAUGUUGUUUUGAUGAGGACGUCCAUGGGUGUUACAGUGAUGAUGGAAUGACGUUGUUCAAGUGAGCAUCAGACGUAAAGCAGGAAAUGGCGGGAAGAAUCCUAGCAGACGACAGUUGUCGCGCAGAUGCAAUCAUGCACCAUAUCAGACUGCCCGAAAUUACAGGCUGGCCCAGCUCUAUACUGGACUCGCUUUCAGCAUGUUACAGUAGGGUUUGAAAAAGGAAAUCAUAACUUUGUAACGUAUGUCUUGUCUACUUUUUGAAAAAUAAACUUUCGUGUCAAUGUAAUAAUUAUGUUGACAUAUCAUUAUUGUCUAAUGUUUCAUAAUGAACCAUUUUUAGCCCAACUGUUUGAAAAACGAGUAAGGGCUAUUUUAGUCACUUGGUCGUCUGUUCUCGUAAAACAUUUCGUUUUGCAUGUUUUGUGUGUAACUUCCUACCUUAGAAUUCAUUAUGAUUGUGUAACGGGGAACAUAAUCUAAACACCUUUAACUUUAAACUAGAUUUUGAUUUAUAUAAUUACAUGUAUGCCACUUAGUCAGCUUGAUUUAAAGCAGUCAUGUCUAAAAUAAUAAUUUAAGUUUACAAUAUAUUCUUAUCAAAUGAGCAUAAUAAUGUUGAGUUAUGGGUCAUUAAGAACAUUUCAGUAAUUUAAACAAAUAACUUACAAUUAUUUUUAAAAUGCUAAAAAAUGUAACAUUUGUUCGACCAUGUUACCAAUAGUGUAUCCACAGGUAGCAGACGACAAUAAAUUUUAAAGUGGAAAUUUGCGACUUCCGGUGUGUCUGCUACUCGAUGUUGUGAUCUUAGUUACUUCCCCUGACGUUCAGUAUAUGAAAUGAGGGUCGAGUUUCAGGAUUUGAAAUUAAGAAAGAACGAAAGAUAUGAAAUGAGCACCGGCAAACUGAUCUUGGCAUGUCACAUCCUUAUCACAGAACUGGAACCUACUGAUUAUGAUGAGAAAUACGGAACAUGGUAAAUUGAGCAGGUGAAGGAAUGAAGAAAACACCACCCUCUUGACAGUCAGCAAAAUAACUAUGCUUUGUUACGGUUUGGAACUACUGCAUGCCGUUACAACUUAAUAUGUGACAAAGAGAUUUUAAUCCACCUGAUACGAUUUGGUAUCUUUCUGAAAAUGUCAUGUUCAACUUCUGAAUGGUGUUUUUUUUUCUGCCAAAUUUAAGAAAUAUAUUACCAUGUAACUGUCUAAUAUUUAUGGCAAUUAUGAAGUAAUAGUGAGUUUUUGGCGUAGUAAUAAAAACCAUAAAAGGUGUUAGCUCGAUUGGAUUUUCUACAUGAACUUAAAAAAAUAACACCUUCAUAAAUGCCUUGAUGUGAACAGAAUAGAAGGGAUAUUUUAUUUGCUUUUUACAUUGUACAUCUUCUAUUUAACAUACUGUGCCGUCAAUAAAUUGAAAUGGCAAUAAUGAGUAUAAUUGCAAUAAUGAAUGAUGCAUUUUUUUGCAAUGUAUAUUUCAAGUGGUGUAAUCAGUAAAUUUUGAUCAGGAAUGUACAUUUAUUAAGACUUAAUAUAUAUGCAAACAUACUGUACCGUUAACAUAAUGGCAAUAGUAAAAUUGCAGAAAUGAAUGAUGCGCAUUUUUUACAAUGUAUAUUUCAAGAAGUGUAAUAGGUAACAUUUAAUAGUUAAUAAAGACAUACUAGGCCGUACAAUGAGAAAUAAUGAUAAUUUAACAACGUCAUGAUAGAAACAUCCAUUUGAAAUUUCUUAAGAUUUAGAUAAUAAUAACACCACCAAGAAUAUCACCACUACCACCAAAAACAACAUUAAUGAAACAUAAUGAAAACUCCAACGAUGAAAUAUUUCAUCAUUUAAAAACAUGCA